AGCGAACGCUGGCGGCAGGCUUAACACAUGCAAGUCGAACGGACCCUUCGGGGUUAGUGGCGGACGGGUGAGUAACACGUGGAACGUGCCUUUAGGUUCGGAACAACACAGGGAACUUGUGCUAAUACCGGGAUGUGCCCUUCGGGGAAAGAUUUAUCGCCUUUAGAGCGGCCCGCGUCUGAGUUAGCUUGUUGGUGAGGUAAAGGCUCACCAAGGCUACGAUCAGUAGCUGGUCGUGAGAGGAUGAUCAGCCACACUGGGGACUGAGACACGGCCCAGACUCCUACGGGAGGCAGCAGUGGGAAUAUUGGACAAUGGGCGCAAGCCUGAUCCAGCCAUGCCGCGUGAGUGAUGAAGG
rnacentral:rRNA from 1 species